GAAUUUUGUAACUAUACCAUUCUUCAAUCCACACAAAAAAAACCUAAAAUUUAAUAAAAAUCAGUCCAGCCGUGUAGGAAGAACUCCCUAACAUAUCCACGGACAGAAGAAUUAAAACUAUUUAUGAUAUCUCGUAUGAAGAAACCUCAACAUUAACUCAAGGUGUCUGAGGAAUGUCGGACCAAAAUCGUCGGAGAAAUUCUUCACACCUCCUUAAAUGUGAACCGUAUCUUCCAUAAUAGUAAAGUUCGUUUUGUAACAACAGGAUUACAUUAAUAGAUAAAUAAAUAGGUA